AUUUUAGUCACGAAAAAAACAGUUGGCCAGAAACAUGUUGCGUUUAUUACUUGGGUUGCUGAUUUUAAUUGGCGCAGAGUGCCAUGAAACGGUACUAUCUCUUCAAGUGGCACGGGAAAUCCCAGAAGAACGUCUGGGGUCGGCGUGUCCAGUCGAAUUGGACUACAGUCCUCAGUGCAUCUGCGAUUUCUGGCCAUAUGAAACCUACAACGUCUACUGCAAUGCGUCAUCAGCCGAAGAAUUGAACGUCAUUACGCAGACCUUUCAGCGCACUCCCAUUGUCAAGCACACUGAGGUGAAAAUCAGCCUCACUGAAUCCAUGUCUAUUCCUGCCAAUUUUUUCAGCAAUAAGACGGCCGUUUCAAUCAUCUUCGAAUGCAUAGGCGAUUCAGGAAAGCUCGGUCUCAUCGACCCCCAGGCAUUCAUACUCACGGCCGCAACGACCACCGCGUUCGGGAUUAAUUUCUGCGACUUGACAGAAUUCGAUUUCGCUUUUCUGGCUCAGCUGAGGGUUUUGGCAUCGCUUCGGUUGUACAACACCACCAUGACCACCCUGGCGAAAAUGCCGUUCAUGCCCCACAUGCGAACGGUCGAAUUAUUCGGUCUGACUGGACUCCGCGAGUGGCACGAUCCAGCUCAAACUCCAUUCCUGGAUACGAUUACCAUCAACGCAGCUAUCGAUACGGAUCAGGAAACCAUGGAAAAGAUCUUGGAAACGCUGUUGUACUACGCCAACUCCCUGCGUGGCUUGUACCUACCCAAUUUAGGACUCACUAGAGUCCCUCCAGCUGUUAGAAAUCUAACAUACCUCAACACGCUGGAUUUAAGCGCUAACCUCAUCAGCUCACUGCCUACCGGAUCGUUGGCUUUGUCAUCCACUUUAGAUUCCCUAUGGCUGGGUAACAUGCUAAUUCAAAGUGUUGAACCGGGAGCUUUUCAAGGCAACUUCCGGCCAACUUUGGUCUACAUGGUUUUCAACCGGCUAAUUAGCUUUCCACGUGAAACAUAUGAAGACAUAUUAGAAGAAAUGAUUUACUCUUCCGGCUCUUUUAACAUUUACGGAAAUCCCAUAACAUGCAAUGACUGCCACCUGGAUUGGCUCAUCAACGAAAAAAGAUACCUGCUAGCAAGAGUGACGGACGGGAUGUGCACUAAUGGCACUAGCUUCGACCAGUUAGACGCGCAAGUUUACAAAGCCCGUUGUGCAAAGGACAAUCAUGCGACAUCUAUUCAAACACCGUUUUUGCUGUUGAUUUCGAUGCUUACUUUCUACAGACUAUUGCUUUAAAAACGUCAAAGGAAACUAAAUAAACAAGGUCCUUGGGUAUACGCCUUCGGGUUAUUGUGGCUAUUGGGAUAACUAUGUAUUCGUUUUUUGUCAUCCCCCCCCCCCAAGAUGGCAGUACAAUAGCUGGAAAUAAUGGCAAAUGUUGAGGUGAAAGAGGUGGCAGUAAAAUCGGGGCAAUAUAUAAACCAUAAUCGUUCAUUUUGUAAUGAUGGGUGUGGUCGCUAGGGGAACCAUAUGUAUAGGGUAGUGAGGGAAUGGUCCGUCGCCCAAAAAAUUUAGGUCGUCUUUGGCGACUUCAUUGAAUGUUCCUGUGUCCAGCAAUAACCAAAUUUCCCAUACAGCGAUUAAAGAUCUGUCUUUAGAGACACAAUCGUAAGCACAACCGUGAUGUAUUUUCUAUGUAUAUUUUUAAAUAAUCAUUUGCGAUUUAACGUAACCGUAUGUCUGCGCUACAAAGGUCUAAAAAUGUUUAGUGGAUGUCAUGUGAUUUCUUAUCGGCUUCCCAUUGGUUUAAACGUUGUGUGAACGGUUUCCCAUUGGUUCGGUAGUUUAGUCAUGUUUAGGGAACAGUUGGCGUUCACACUUUGCGCUUUUCGGCAUUAUUUUCUUUAUCAGCUGAAUCUGCGUGAAAAACUACAGGGAAAGAUGUAGUUUACAUCGUGAUUAGUUUAACAUUUAAAUUAGAUAUUUGUAAUUUCAGAAACGCCACAGUCCUUAAAAUAAAUUAAAACUUUGAGAGUAAUGAAAAGGUUUGUAUCAAUAUCUUUCAACCAUAUCAUGUGAGAAACAUAACAGCCAAAACGGCACUUCCAAUCGCCGAAAUACCAGCUAGACAUUUUAACUCCAUAGAUUGAGGCAAAUCUAAUAUCAAGCUGCUAUGAGCCAGCAAACAAUAGAGAGCAAGUCAACCACAUCAGGGAUAAUCAAAUCAUCUUUGGCGUACUGUGGUAACAUAGAGAAAUGGGAAAUGGAGAGAAACCAGAAGGCAGUGAAUGAGAAAUAAGGACUAGCUAUGGAAGCAGGCAACGUUACUAAAAGGAUUGAUUUCUCAAGGACGUGAUAGGAGAAUAGGAAAAAUGCAAGAGACACGUUGAUCAAAGAGAUAUGCAAAUUACGCGAACUGUUCUUAAAAUAUAGAUGAAGUCCACAAGGGAAACUGAAAAGAGCUGUUAGCAGUAAACAAUAUCUAGCGAUAGCGGUGGGUUCCAUUAUUCGUCGGAUUUUGACCAAAACAUUUAAUGUGCACCAGAAGUUGGCAACAUAAUCUUCAAAAAUUCCGCGGUUGAAAGGAAAGACUCUGGAGAGAACUUGUUGCAAAAGCCCAUUAUGAAAUUGUAAAAAUAGAUACCAAAUAAUGGUAAAAGUGGCCAAUGUUACAAUCCCAAUACUUAUCAAAUUUCAAAGUUGAUAUUAAGGAGGAACCCCUACGGUGACAAGAAGCCAGCAAAUAGAAGAACAUGGGUAUAGCGUGAUAAAGCUCCAUUUGCUUAAAGUUUAGUUCUGCUGAAAAAACAACUUGAAUGAG
rnacentral:misc_RNA from 1 species